GUGACUGUUCAUUGUUCACAUUGUUCGGUUUUGUGAAACUCUGGAGCUCACGAUUUUCUUUAAAUGGAUUUUUGUAAUGUUUUUUUUGUUGAUCUAAAAAGAUUAUGUGAAGUUUAAGGGAAAUCUCGAACAAUUGAAGCCCACAAUCACUAGCAACCUACUGCUUCUUCUUCUUUCAUCGAGGUUAGGGCUUUCUUUUUCAGUCACUCCCAGAUUGGCCAGACCCCUCACUACAAGAAAUCGAGAGGUUCACGAUGCACAAAACGGCGUCAAAAGAAACCACAUCGGAACAGACACCUUUCCUCAACGUUGUUUUGUACACCUUUGGAAUAAGUGAACACAUUAUUUUAACAUUACAUUUUUCCGACACUAUGCGUGGGACGUCGAAAAACAAGACGCUAUUCCCGACGUUUGGGCAUAGGGUGUCGAAAAUGGUUUUGAAUUAAAUUAAAUAUACAGAUUCUCCCGACGCUCGAUGCAUGGCUUCAGGCAUGGACAGCCCUAUUCCCGACGGUACUCGUUAUACGUCGAGAAUAGUUGACACCAUUUACGAUGCCAUACAUGGGCCGUCGAAAAAUAUUCAAACAUUAAUUAUGUCAGAUCAAGAUUCUUGAUGCCCCAUGCAUGAUGUCGAAAAUGGUUUUACCUGUUUCCGAUGCCAUUAGUGAUUUGUCGGUAAUAGUUUUACCUAUUCCCCAUAAGUCAUUAAUGGUGUCGGGAACAAGUUAGAGCUCCCGACAUUUUCAUUCUACGUCAGGAGUUUCCUAAUAAAAAAGGUGUUUCAGAUCUGUGAAACAUAGAACCGAAACGGAAGAGAAGGAGAAAGAGAAAUUGGUGAAACGAAAGAGAAGAAAGAAAUCGUAUCGUCAUCGCCGUUUUCGUUGCCAUCAUGAUCCUGCGAUCGUGCCGCUCCCACUGCUCAUCCCUAUUUGAGCCAAUGGGUGGAUUCCGAUGACGAUCGCAUAUGGUGUGGAGAAGCCUAUUUUCCCACCCGCCGUUCGCUUCAGCCAGGCGAUAGACGUGUGUGUGUGAAAGACAUUUCCUGUUCGUUGUCUUAAGUGGACGGACGUAGGUAGAGAAUACAUCGAGGUUGUCAAGGGCGACCUCCAGUGGUUUUUUGUGCUUGAUUUCAAUGAUCAAGCAAUGAAUAGGUUCGUUAAGCAUCAAAUGUCUAACACCUUUAAAGAGUUCUAGGGGAUUGCCACAGGUACUUUAAAAAGUACAGCGACCCCGAGGAGGCCCGUACCAACCCACCACACCUUUUGGUGGGACGUAAUGAGGAUUGACACUACCCCUGUGACCACUACAUCAGUUGUGCAUUCCAGGAGGAAUCACGGAUGAACAAGACUGCCAGACAGAAGCAGCCUUACAAUCAUAGCAAUGGGUCGAAGUUGUUUCUACAAUGAAUGUACGAGCUAGCUAAGCAAAGAGAGGAGCCGAUCAAUCGUGUAGAGUUGUUCUGGCAAACACACGUUCGAGAUGGAACAUUCGUAUUGCAAACUGCGAAGGACGCGCAUAUGCAAGCUUAAUGUCAAGUUGUAGCUCCAUUUAAUUUGUAUAUUCAAUGUAUCUUCUUCAUUAAGUGGUGUGAGUUCUCUCAGAUGGUAGACAGAUUGGACGAUGGAGCGAAGGAGUAGCAUAAAAUGUUUAUGCUUUUGAAUUUUAUACUUUUCAUUGAACAAAAUGUUUUAACUGUUAUUGAUUUUAUUUGAUUGUCCUUUAUUGAUUCAUGAUAUUCAUAGUUAGAUAAUGUCUAAUUCUGAAUUAUU